rnacentral:rRNA from 1 species
AGUGAACGCUGGCGGUAGGCCUAACACAUGCAAGUCGAACGGCAGCACAGUUAUAGCCUGCUCUUACGGUUUGCGAGUGUCGGACGUGUGACGUAUACAUCGGAAUCUACUUUUUCGUGGGUGAUAACGUAGGUAAACUUACUCUAAUACCGCAUACGACCUACUUGUGAAAUCAGGUGAUCUUCUGUCCUUUCGCGAUUGUAUUAGCCGAUUUCGGAUUAGCUAGUUGGCUGGGUAAAGGCCCACCAAGGCGACGAUCCGUAGCUGGUCUGAGAGGAUGAUCAGCCACACUGGAACUGAGACACGGUCCAGAGAACUACGGGAGGAAGCAGAGGGGAAUAGUGGACAAUGGGCGGAAGCAUGAUACAGAAAUACCGCGUGGGUGAAGAAGGACUUCGGGUUGUAAAGCGCUUUUGUCGGGAAAGAAAAGCAGAAGGUUAAUACAGAGAUGUUCUGACGGUACCAAAAGAAUAAGCACCGGCUAACUUCGUG